UUAAUUUUGCAUCCGGAGUCUUGGAAAGCACGGAAAACAUCUACAAAUACCACAUGCAGAUACAACAUGAUUCUCCUCAAACUCCUUCUCCAACAACAAAAGCUAUUAUUUCACGAUCGUCUGAUCAUAGUCGCUCAUCCUCACGCAGCUCCCAGCAGUGGAGUACCAUUGGAAAUGGAGAAACUGUUAUUCAAGUUACUAGGCAACAAGAUGUCACAGCUAGUGAGGAUU